rnacentral:rRNA from 2 species
UAAGGCUGGGCUGUGAUGGGGAGGGAAAAUAUAAGUACCGAAGGUCAUGGGCUCACACUGCCAAGAAAAGCCUCUAGCCAGGCGAAGGUGCCCGUACCGCAAACCGACACAGGUAGGCGAGCAGAGCAUGCUAAGGCGCGCGGAAGAACUCUCGUUAAGGAACUCGGCAAAAUGACCCCGUAACUUCGGGAGAAGGGGUGCCUCGGUAGGGUGAAUAGCCCGAGGGGGCCGCAGUGAAAAGGCCCAAGCGACUGUUUAGCAAAAACACAGGUCUGUGCGAAGCCGCAAGGCGAAGUAUACGGGCUGACGCCUGCCCGGUGCUGGAAGGUUAAGGGGAGCGGUUAGGGGUAACCCGAAGCUGUGAACCGAAGCCCCAGUAAACGGCGGCCGUAACUAUAACGGUCCUAAGGUAGCGAAAUUCCUUGUCAGGUAAAUUCUGACCCGCACGAAUGGCGUAACGACUUGGGCGCUGUCUCAACGAGAGAUCCGGUGAAAUUUUAAUACCUGUGAAGAUGCAGGUUACCCGCGACAAGACGGAAAGACCCCAUGGAGCUUUACUGCAGCUUGAUAUUGGACUUUGGUACGAUCUGUACAGGAUAGGUGGGAGCCUGAGAAGCCGGAGCGCCAGCUUCGGUGGAGGCGCCGUUGGGAUACCACCCUGAUCGUAUCGGAGUUCUAACCUGCUACCGUGAAACCGGUAGAGGGACCGUGUCAGGUGGGCAGUUUGACUGGGGCGGUCGCCUCCUAAA